rnacentral:rRNA from 1 species
AAGGAUUUCUUCGGAAUGAAUUUGAUUAAGUUUAGUGGCGGACGGGUGAGUAACGCGUGAGUAACCUGCCUCUAAGAGGGGAAUAACAUUCUGAAAAGAAUGCUAAUACCGCAUAACAUAUAUUUAUCGCAUGGUAGAUAUAUCAAAGAUUUAUCGCUUAGAGAUGGACUCGCGUCCGAUUAGUUAGUUGGUGAGGUAACGGCUCACUAAGACCGCGAUCGGUAGCCGGACUGAGAGGUUGAACGGCCACAUUGGGACUGAGACACGGCCCAGACUCCUACGGGAGGCAGCAGUGGGGGAUAUUGCGCAAUGGGGGAAACCCUGACGCAGCAACGCCGCGUGAAGGAUGAAGGUCUUCGGAUUGUAAACUUCUUUUAUUAAGGACGAAGAAAGUGACGGUACUUAAUGAAUAAGCUCCGGCUAACUACGAGCCAGCAGCCGCGGUAAUACGUAGGGAGCAAGCGUUGUCCGGAUUUACUGGGUGUAAAGGGUGCGUAGGCGGCUUUGCAAGUCAGAUGUGAAAUCUAUGGGCUCAACCCAUAGCCUGCAUUUGAAACUGCAGAGCUUGAGUGAAGUAGAGGCAGGCGGAAUUCCCCGUGUAGCGGUGAAAUGCGUAGAGAUGGGGAGGAACACCAGUGGCGAA